UAGAAGUCAGGUCGGAUUAAGCCAUAGUACGGAAAAAACUAUGCUACCUGUGAGCCCCGUCCAAGGACGUUAAAAGAAGUCAGGCCAUCAUAAAUGCCAYAGCUUGAGUAAACUAUGCUGCCUGUAGCUCCACCUGAGAAGGUGUAAAAAAUCUGGGAGGCCACAAACCAUGGAAGCUGUACGCAUGG
rnacentral:lncRNA from 1 species